ACUUAAAUGGCGGAAUGAAUAUAAAAUCACUGCACAGUUCUUGAUUCCUAAUAAGCUUUAGACCAAUUCCUGCUAUUAAUAUUAUUAAUAAAGUAACGACGAUGAUUAUGUAGCUUGGAGACAGAGGUCCUAUAUAGAAUCAUUAAAGACCAGAUGAUAUCUAACAUCGAUUAAGAGACCCAAUGGGAAAAAUGAGAGGAGUAUUAAUCUGCCACAUUUUUCCUGGCAUAUAAUUUGCAAACUCAAGCGUGUGCAUGUGUGUGAACUGUAUGUGUGCAAGACUGUAAAAUGCACACACACGCAAAUACCCUGUGUUCAAAUUAUCAUUGGGAGGCCUAAAGCCUAUAACAUAAAAUAGUAACUUCUGAUCCUGUUCUCUUGGUAGAACACAAGACUAGACAGUAAGUAGAAGAUUGUUGUAUCCUCACAGUGUUUCCUUACAAAGAAGAGAAGCUACAGGCAGUAGAACUGGCAAAAGGUGGAAUUGUAUUUCACACCAAAAUUUAACAGUUUGGAGCACAAAAGUUUUCUUAUGGUCGCUCAGUGUCACUGGUACCAACUAUUUCUUUGUUGCUCUGUCACUGCGUAUUUUCCCAAGGGCGGCAGAAAUCAUUACCAAUCUUUAGCUCCUGAUUCCUAUCACAUUCCAGCACAUGGAACGUACCUUUAAAUAAUUCUAAAACUUGUAUAAUACAAAAGAUUCGAUUCUAUUCUAUUCUAUUCUAUUCUAUUCUAUUCUAUUCUAAUUUUUUGUGGAUAGAAGGAUAGAAGUUUAUUAAGCAGAUAUACAGCAAAAGCUCUCAGAAGUGAGAGGUCCCAACCGGGUUGCCAGAUAUGAAAGAUUUUAAUAUUAUGUUUUCCAAAGAGAGCCCUUUUCAUUGUACACAUGCGCAUCUCACAGGCUGAUGAAGGUGGUGUGCUGAGCAGCUUCCAUCUGAGUUUUGCCGUCUGUGAAAUGGAAGGACUCCUACCUACCCUGAACAGGGCAUCGGUGAGAUGGCUCAUUCUCCACAUUACUAAUGGGACAUCUAGACAGUUUAUUUUUCAUGGAUCGUUCUUAGCAUGCUGUGUGAGCAAGUGCCAGCUGACUCAGCAUAUCCUCAACCAGGGAAGUGUUUCUCCGUGAAUGCAAAGCUGAGACCUAAAUCGCUAAGGGCGAUGAAUCGUGGGUACCUACUUUCAUCAAUCUCUUCUACCAGCUUAUUGCAUAGGAGAAUUUUUCAUUGGUAGCGACUUUCCCUUGAAAUUUCAAAGACCUGUGCAUUUCUCUUGGGUAGGAGUCUGAUUAAGGCAAUGACUAUUUUCCUUCUUGUUAUUUGCUCCCUUUUCUUUGUGAAUCCUGGAGCAAAAGCCCCCAUGUCUAGAAUACAUUUAAUUGUGUUGCACAGUGAUCAGAGGAGCGAUGAUUUUUAUAGAGAUCCUAUUCGUAAAAUAUACUGCUUGUUUUCAAACCCAGGUCGAUAGAAAGAAUGAAGGGAGGGGGAGAUUAAAGAAGAAAGGAAGGAGGGAAGGAGGAAAGGAGGAAGGCAGUGGGUUGAAACAGGGAAUGGCACAUGUAGAAGAGCUCAGGCUCUGAACUUAGACAGAAUUUGUUUUAAAUCUUGGCUCUACGACCUUACUUGGACACUAGAAAUCGAGACGUAAAGACACAAUUAAAAGUACAUGGAAUCAGGGGUGCCUGGGUGGCUCAGUGGUUGAGCAUCUGCCUUUGGCUCAGGUCAUGAUCUUGGGGUCCUGGGAUUGAGUCCUGCAUCGGGCUCGCCGCAGGGAGCCUGCUUC
rnacentral:lncRNA from 12 species